rnacentral:lncRNA from 1 species
GUUCAACAUGCUUUAGGAUUUGAUGAUGUCUUUUUCUGUGGCUUUUCUGCACUUCAUUAUAACAAUGCCUUUCUAUACUACUUUGGUAGCAUUGCUAAGAUAUCUUCUUUAUUUGCUGGUCUUAGUUCUAUUUGUCUCAAUUGAUCUCUUGGUUUAUAUAAUUCCCCAAAGAAUAUUGCUAUUUUUCCACUAUAUUGUUGAUGACACUCCAUUACUUUUUGAUCACAGUUAGUUGGCAUUUGCCAGUCAUUAUGUCCCACCUUGCUAAUUGGAGGCUAAUACUGUUUUCACUGGUCAUUUGAAUCUGUAUGUAUUUUGUAUCUUCUUUGGUUUUCUUUCAUACUUUGCAUAUUUCUAUAUAUUCUGUGUGAUCAAUAGAGGAUUUGGUUUUCAUUUUCCUUCUCUUUUCAAUCAGCUCUUAUGUUUUGAUAGAUAUUUUCUUGACAGGAUUUCUUGG